GACGAAGGGCGCUAGCGUUGUUCGGAAUUACUGGGCGUAAAGCGCGUGUAGGCGGUUGCCCAAGUCGGGUGUGAAAGCCUUGAGCUCAACUCAAGAAAUGCACUCGGUACUGGGUGACUAGAGGACCGGAGAGGAUAGUGGAAUUCCCAGUGUAGUGGUGAAAUACGUAGAGAUUGGGAAGAACACCAGUGGCGAAGGCGGCUAUUUGGACGGUUUCUGACGCUAAGACGCGAAAGCGUGGGGAGCAAACAGG
rnacentral:rRNA from 1 species